rnacentral:lncRNA from 1 species
UCUUACAUAUAUUUUUUUUUUACACAUGGGUUAUUACUACACCACAUUUUUAUAUUUACUUAAUGUAACACCCCAUUAUCCUCCACUAAUAUUUUCUUUUCCCUACCACUAAUCUUUUUCCCUACCACCACUAAUAUUUUCUUUUCCCUACCACUAAUCUUUUUCCCUACCACUACUCCUACCUUUCCACCACACUACUCCUUUUCCCCCACCACUACAUUCUUUCUCCCACUCUCACAACUUUUCUCCCACC